GAGUUUGAUCUUGGCUCAGAUUGAACGCUGGCGGCAGGCCUAACACAUGCAAGUCGAGCGGAUGACGGGAGCUUGCUCCUUGAUUCAGCGGCGGACGGGUGAGUAAUGCCUAGGAAUCUGCCUGGUAGUGGGGGACAACGUUUCGAAAGGAACGCUAAUACCGCAUACGUCCUACGGGAGAAAGCAGGGGACCUUCGGGCCUUGCGCUAUCAGAUGAGCCUAGGUCGGAUUAGCUAGUUGGUGGGGUAAUGGCUCACCAAGGCGACGAUCCGUAACUGGUCUGAGAGGAUGAUCAGUCACACUGGAACUGAGACACGGUCCAGACUCCUACGGGAGGCAGCAGUGGGGAAUAUUGGACAAUGGGCGAAAGCCUGAUCCAGCCAUGCCGCGUGUGUGAAGAAGGUCUUCGGAUUGUAAAGCACUUUAAGUUGGGAGGAAGGGCAGUAAGUUAUACCUUGCUGUUUGACGUUACCGACAGAAUAAGCACCGGCUAACUCUGUGCCAGCAGCC
rnacentral:rRNA from 1 species